rnacentral:lncRNA from 1 species
ACUUUUCCUGCACUUGCGGCGUCCUGGGGACCCCCGGUAGGGGGCGCCGAGAGCGAGCGCUGGAAGAGGGCCUGAGGAUGCUGGCUGGCUAGGAAGGCUUCCUCUGUGCCCGGUGAGUUGGUGGGGUCCGGGUGAGCAAAGCACAGGACCAGGCGGAUCUUGCCAUCAUUUCCUAGAGGCGGAGGGUGGCGCGGUCUCAGCUGUGUCUAAUAUUUGUAAACCAUCACAUUCCACGGUGACAACUAUCUGAUGGAGAGAGGAGCCUCGUGGUGGAUCCGGGUGUGAAGGCUCUGACAGGAUGCUUAUAUCGGUUUCUUGUGCAUCUUACUCCUUGGGUGUCACUUUCAGAAGUGCCUUCUCUUCUGUUCCAGGAGCAUUGGUGUGUGAGAGUUGCUGAACCACCCGAGUGGCUGUGGAUCCUUCGUGUGAUACAUGGUCGAGGACACGCUCCACCCCUUUCCUCCUUGGCACUUUCCACACAUGACGGGACCACGAGCUUCUGGUUAGACAAGUGCCCGGAG